rnacentral:misc_RNA from 1 species
AGAGGAUUAGUUCCACUUCAGCAAGAAACAUGUUAAAACAAGAUCAAGAACUUGGAUUCUUUGCAUUUGCUGGCAGUUUGUUAUCACCUUUAGGAGGGUGGAGUGGUCGUGGCCGUGGCCAUGGCCUUGGGCAGUUUAGGAGGAAAUGGAAAUCAAGGACGAGGGCGAUGGCUAGGGCGCCAUGGAGGCAAGGGCUUGGGUUCAGGUUCAGGCUCAGAAUAUCCACA